rnacentral:rRNA from 1 species
UACGUAGGGGGCGAGCGUUGUCCGGAAUUAUUGGGCGUAAAGAGCUUGUAGGCGGUUUGUCGCGUCUGCUGUGAAAAUCCGGGGCUCAACCCCGGACUUGCAGUGGGUACGGGCAGACUAGAGUGUGGUAGGGGAGACUGGAAUUCCUGGUGUAGCGGUGAAAUGCGCAGAUAUCAGGAGGAACACCGAUGGCGAAGGCAGGUCUCUGGGCCACUACUGACGCUGAGAAGCGAAAGCAUGGGGAGCAAACAGG